rnacentral:tRNA from 1 species
GCUCCCAUAGCUCAGUUGGUUAGAGCGUGGUGCUAAUAACGCCAAGGUCACAGGUUCGUCCCUGUUGGGAGCA